AGUCGGCGGCGAGGGUUUCGUCUCCUUCUCGCCGCUUUGUCCCGCGCUGUUCCCCUCUCGUUUCAGCUCCAGCACGAACCGCGCCGCGGCGGCGGCGGCGAGAGAGGCGUCUCUUCUCCGAGCAUGGCCACCACCACCGCGCCGGAGGACGCGCCGUCCGCGGCCAAGGGGGCUAAAGGAGAGGCGAAGAGGAAACAGAGCAACUGGCGUGGGGGAGGAGGAGGCGGCGGCGGCCGCGGCGACGGGGGUCAGGGGCAGAAGCGGAAGAGGAAGGAGGUAUUCGUCUACGGGAACUACAGGAACUACUACGGCUACCGGAUUGACCGUAAUGUUGAUGAAGACCCUCGUCUUAAAAUAUUUAAGAGAGAGUGGUUUGAAAGCAAGGAUUGUCUUGAUAUUGGAUGCAACCAGGGUUUGGUAACGAUUGGUCUAGCUGCGAAAUUUAAAUGCCAAAGCAUUCUUGGAGUUGAUAUUGAUUCAGGUUUGAUCGAAACUGCCAACUGGAAUUUAAGAAGGAUGUCUCGACUGGAUAAGGUGGUUGUAGAAAACACCAAGGCUCACAAGUCAUCAGAUUCACCGUCUGAAAGCUGUCCGGAAAAAGUGGCACCUGAGAUAUCAAAUGGGGAUAUUUCUAAUGGCAGUCAUCAUGAUAUUUUUAAAGUUGUUUCUUUUCGUCGCGAGAAUUUUGUGGACAGCAUGUGUACAAGUUCAGAACAGUAUGAUACAAUUGUUUGUUUGAGUGUGACCAAAUGGAUCCACCUGAACUGGGGUGACGAUGGCAUAAUUACUUUAUUUGUGAAGAUCUGGAGACUUCUAAGACCGGGUGGAGUUUUUAUUAUGGAGCCUCAACCUUGGACCUCAUAUAGGAGAAACAGAUUGGUUUCAGAGGUUGCCAAAGAGAACUUCAAUACCAUCCUAAUACAUCCAGAUAAAUUCCGGGAGAUACUUCUAGACAAGAUCGGAUUCAGGUCGGUAGAGGUGGUUACGGACAAACUGGAGGGCGCUGUUACUGGUUUUGACCGCCCAAUCGAAGUUUACCACAAAGUGAUGGGAACUGGAUCAAGUUCUUGACAUUUCCUGCCAAAGGCAUAUGUGGUGCUUCAGAUGUGCAGCUUGUUUUAGUGGGAUUCAUUGAGCUCCAUGACGCUUUCUUCCAUUCGACAAACUUCAACGAUGGCGCCCUCACAUACCGCUGGAUUUGCAUUUGCAGAAGACUAUUUGAACGCCCAAGGAAUGAGAUGGGUAGAUUGGAACUGUUGAUGACAAGCAAAUUACGAAGCAACGAGAGGAUGUCCCCUUGAGGGAUGAAAAUUCACAUCCAAACUACAGUAAUGGCGGCUUCGCAUAGCUGGAUUUUACAAAAUUCAGCUGUAUUCUGUUGCAUGAAGAAGACUGGGAAUAAAACUCACAUGUUGUAACUGCAUGUAAUUAAGUUGGUAAUCGAUGAAGAAAAUCAUAGCUUCUCCGUCGAUCUCCCGUACUAAAUGUUUAAAAGUUGUGGCUGAUCCAUUCCCAGAAAGACAUUCUGAAAAGCCAUUGAUCAA